GGCGGGGGGUGCUGCGGGGAAGGCGGGGGACCCGGGACUUCCAAGUGUGUUCAUCUCAAAGAUCUCUCUUUGCAUAAUGUGUGUGUGGACCUGCCUACAGAUACAUUGGGUGGAAGCCCUAGGAGCCUCAAGCAAGUCUGAAGAUUGGCCCUGAGAACCACUGUUCUCAUUAUCAGCAAGGAUUUUAUCCAGAGACCUCUAGGAAUACAUUCACUAAAAUGUGACUGUGGUCCUGUGGUUGUAUGAACUCUGGCUCUUCUCGUGAAUUACAUUUCACUGGAGUCAGGUGUUUUCUGUAAACAUCGUUAAACCACGAGACCAACUGCAUUGAACAUUUUUUGCACUACAUUGUUUUAUUUCUUGCUCGUCUUUUCCUUGCAGAGCUGGGGCUGGGGUGAGGUGUGUGGUGUACCUAGCACUCAAAAUCCAAAAACAAUCCAUUGAUACACUUGGUGACAUUAAUUGAGAAAAAAACAAUAUGGUCUGGCCAUGGAGGCAUGGUAUCCGUAACAUCCCCCAAAGGAGCUAAAGAAGAAAUCCACAAUUUACCAUGAGCAUUUCUCGUCUGAAGAUUGCCAAGCGAUUCCUCCAGGACAUUCCUCAAGAUCAAUUUCUGUUCAUCCACCUUGUCCUGGGAGGGACAUCAAUGGGUUUCCAUGUCCUUUGGCUUCUGGUUGAGUUCACUCAGUGGAGAACCCUGGCAAGAGGCAGGAAAAGGGGAGGAAGCAGCCUGACCGGUUUGAAUUUCACCUUCUGUUCACCUUGGAUGAGAGCAGUAAUCAUCACGAUCCCAGGGAACAGCCAAAGGAAGAGAAAAGGCAAAAGAUUUGGACAAGACUCAUGAAGACUAACAGCUCUUGGAUAAUUGAGAGAAGGCAGCUGCGUGAACAGUUUUGAUGCAAUCAUGAAGGCAGGGCCCAGUGCCUGUGGCAUCUGCCUUUUUCUGGAACCAAUCCAUAUUUCCUUGUGGUUUUCUAAGGUGCAGAGAGGGCACAUUGGGAACUUUGCUUGGGGUCUUUUUCACAUCUUAGAGGGAAGGUCCCUCAACAUCUGCAUUGGCGGAGUGUGAUCCUCAUGUCCCUCUGAAUGAUCUGGACUUGAGGUAACCAGCCCCUUCCAGGAAGCUGUCCCAUGAGUGAAGCCUCAGCAGCAGCCUCUGUCAGUCCCUCCCCCACAGAACCUUUGGCUUCCAUUUGACCAGCCUUGACAUCCAGUGUCCAAACACCGAUAAAAUUGAUUCCACUAAGCGUGGGAAAGUCCUGGAGCAUCGAUUGUUUCCUCCUCUGCACCCCCGAUACCCUGGCAUUAGCACUCUCCCAGAAUGUACCUUGCUUGUUUGAUUGGAGGAGGUCAAAGCCCUGAUGAAGAAUGAGUGGAAUUCCACAGGAUUGGAGCAGUCUUGAUAAAUGACAGCAGGGGAUGGUGUGGGGAGGGGAAAGGAUCAGAGGAAGUGUGGAUAAAUGAAUGGCUUAAAAAAUAAUCCACCUUUGCCUCCCCCUUUUCUACCAGUCUGUCUAGUGCUUCAGGGUGAAAAAAAAAAAAAAAAGCUUGCCUUUCUAAACAUUUGGAGUUUCAGAAAUGAUCUAUAGAGCAUGUUUAGUUUUUCAAGUUAAAAAUAUUAAAAGAAAAAAAA
ensembl:lncRNA SOX9-AS1 SOX9 antisense RNA 1